UUGCGUCGUACGUCCGCAAGUAACCACUCAACUUAUUCCUCCAUCACAUAUGGACGUAAUUCAAGCGCCCCUUAUAAUGCUCCAAGCGACGCAUUAGGGGAUCCCUGCGUUUUCCCCGGGUGGGUACACCACGGGCUUGAGUUCGCCCCGGGGAAGCGGGCGGCCCCAUUUGGUAGCACGUGAGGCGGGGAGAUCCCUGGCCUUUCCACGGCCCAUCCCCGGGAUAGAUCUCCCGAUGUCGAUAGGUCUGGGAGUAAACCCUCGACUGGCUCGCUCUCCCUGCGACCGGUGGCGACGGCCUCCGCCUCCAGCCUCCACCUCCGUUCGGUGCAUCUCCGUCCGACGACCGGAUAGCGCCGCCCCCCGCGCCCUCCCUCAAGAGAACCGCCUCCACAGUCCGUCCCUCCGGCAGCAGCGACGGCGACGGACCGGGCGUCAUCCAUCUCCCCUCUGCCUCAAAGCUUCUAUCACCUCCGGCGACGACGAUGGCCAAGAGGUCACCCUCCUUUCACCAAGGUUAUUACCUCCUCCUCCUCUUCUAUCCAGUGUUUUUCUUCUCCAUGGUGAUGUCUUCCCUGCUACACGCACUGACGAGCACCUGUACAGAUCCAAGAAACUCCUCUUGCGUCUGAGAUUUGUAUCACAAGUGAGCAAGUGUACACCUUACAUCCACGUUUGCAGCACCUCUAACCAUCCUGAUCUCACAACUAAGCACAAUCACCUUUGUCUCCUUGUGAUGUUGUAUACACGAUGCUAAUCUAUGCACAGUGUUCUUUGUGAUUAAUUAACUCUUGUAAUGCUAUUUUUUGAGUCAGGCAUAGCUAACAAGCUGUAUAUUUGAACAAUGGCUUUAUGGAGGUGUAUAGUAUUAGCUUUCCUUUAUAAAUGGUUAACACAACAUUUAAUUUCACCUGAAAUCAACAUUAUGACAUGCUGACUAUAACCAAACAAAGACAACUUUUAUCAUGCAGCCCAACAUCUUAGGGUUGAGAAUUUUGUCAUAGGAUCUGCACCAUGGGCUGCAUUUACUUAUUAAAUCCUUGCACUUUUUCUAGAUGCUUCCUAUGAUCUUACUUGUUGUGAAUUAUCUUGCAAUACCAUUUUAUUUAACUCACCAUGCCAAGAGGACAUGCCUUGUUUUACAAUCGCUAGUUGGUCCAUGUUUUGCUUGGUUCUCUGAAAACAUGUGUGGCAUGAACCUGAACUGCACUAAUUCUUGAUGUGAUGUAUAACUCGAAGAUGGUUACUUCAGUGCACAGUGAGCUGAUGCAUCACAUGACAUCCCUUGAAAUUCUUUUACUGCUCCCCUUCAAACUUGGCACUGUUCUUGAUUACAGUCUUGUUCCCACCAGAUGCAUGAACAUGAGCUCAAUACUUAAUACGACAGGUAUAUGACAUGAGUAGGCCUUGCAUGAUCAAGAAAACCAAUGAUACAAAUUGCAUCUGUCGGUAAACUUUUGUCGAUGAACUUCCAGGUGCUGUAUCAUGAGCUAGCAGAGUAUGUGCAUCUGUGCUCCUGCCGCUCCACUUCCAGGUGAUGGCGUCGGGUUGGUCAGAGAGGGUGAAGCUCUCAAGUUCCCGCCAAAGUAUCAGGUAAUGUCCAAUCUCAUCGAGGCCGAUCAUUCAAGUUCUCGAAAAUUUGAAGCUUGAUUUGUAAAACGCAUAGUAGUGAUAAAGCAAUUAAAAGAUGAAUCCAUGUACUAUUAAGACUGCGGAUUAUCCAAAAGAGAGACCAACAUUUUAUAAUGUUUGCAUCUGUUUGUUUGCCAACAUGCAUAUAAAUAAGAAUUUGUGCUUAUGUUAUAUAUAUACUAGUUUAAAAUCUCAUAUUGUGUAGUAACAACAAUGUUCCUUUUUUGCUUUGCAGGUUUCCUAAAGAUAGCAAAUAAAAAUGUUCAAAGAAGUUGAUGCUGGAAGUUUCAGUAAAGUAUCUAUUUCAACAGCAAAACUUUUUGCUAUGGACGUGUCACAUAUGGGCAUUUUUUUAAUGGAGCUAAAUGCUUAUUCUUGCUGGAUUUUUAACCGUAGUUAGUAUUUAAAAAAACAUGAUUAGCACAAUAAAUUUUAUCCUCAGUAGUGUUGUGUAAUUUGUGCGACUCGACCGCAUAACUUAUUGUUAGCAUGUAAUUGGGUUGAAGUGUUAAUUUGCUGAUUAUGUGUGUAUUAUUAUUUUCUCCAAAAAAAUCCUGAAUUAUUCUCUAUCUUCCUGAGAACUUGUGUCAUUUCUGAACUUAUCAAGGAAAUAUACAGAAAUUUUAAUUACUUUUUUUUUGCGGGAGAAUUUUAAUUACUUCUGAACUGAUAUGAUAUUUCUGUAAAGAAACCAGAGUUAUUU
rnacentral:lncRNA from 1 species